rnacentral:tRNA from 1 species
GGGGACAUGGCGAAAUUGGUAGACGCGCAGGAUUUAGGUUCCUGUUGAGCAAUCAGUGGGGGUUCAAGUCCCCCUGUCCCCACCA